rnacentral:rRNA from 1 species
AGAGAGAGACAUGCGCGCAUAUCAAUAAGCGGAGGAAAAGGAACUAACAAGGAUUCCCUUAGUAACGGCGAGUGAAGCGGGAAGAGCUCAAAUUUGAAAUCUUCAAGGUUUUACCUUGACGAAUUGUAGUUUAAAGAAGUGUUUUCUGCUGGAGUUUUGGUAAAAGUUCUUUGGAAUAGGACAUCAUAGAGGGUGAGAAUCCCGUAUUUGACCAUUAUUUCAGCUUUGUGAUACACUUUCAAAGAGUCGGAUUGUUUGGGAAUGCAGUCCAAAAUGGGUGGUAAAUUUCAUCUAAAGCUAAAUAUUGGCGAGAGACCGAUAGCGAACAAGUACCGUGAGGGAAAGAUGAAAAGAACUUUGAAAAGAGAGUUAAACAGUACGUGAAAUUGUCAAAAGGGAAGCGUUUGACACCAGUGUUGUUUUCUACGAAAAUCAAUUAAAAAUGGCUCGAUUUUGUAUUGCUGAGACCUUAAAAGCUCACUGUACAUUUUUCGUGUCUUUUUUAAUGCACUUUUCGUUUAACAAGUCAACAUCAGUUUCUUUUGUUGUAAAAGGGUCAUUGGAAGGUGGCUUUCUUUUCGGAGAAAGUGUUUAUAGCCUUUGGCCUCUGCAAUCGAAGAGACUGAGGUCUGCAGCGUAGACUCUUCGGGGUUAGAUACAUUUGUGCUAAGUUAUAGCUUUUUAUAGACAACUUGUUGACUAUAAUUAGUCUUGUAGCUUACUCGCUUAUGCUAUUUUACCUACGCUUAGGAUGUUGAGUCGUAGAGCACGCAG